CAGAGGGUGCAAGCGUUGUUCGGAAUUAUUGGGCGUAAAGCGCGUGUAGGCGGCUUUGCAAGUCGGGUGUGAAAUCCCUCGGCUCAACCGAGGAAGUGCGCCCGAAACUGCAGAGCUUGAGUGCCGAAGAGGGUGGCGGAAUUCCCCAAGUAGAGGUGAAAUUCGUAGAUAUGGGGAGGAACACCGGUGGCGAAGGCGGCCACCUGGUCGGUAACUGACGCUGAGACGCGAAAGCAUGGGGAGCAAACAGGAUUAGAUACCCUGGUAGUCCAUGCCGUAAACGAUGAGAACUAGGUGUCGCGGGUGUUGACCCCUGCGGUGCCGUAGCUAACGCAUUAAGUUCUCCGCCUGGGAAGUACGGCCGCAAGGCUA
rnacentral:rRNA from 1 species